AGCUGCUCCCUGACUGCACUUCAUGUUUACAAAAAGACUGUUUCUGUUUCUUCUCACCACGCUAUCCUGCAAAAUGACCACAGCAAAAGUAACUGAAGAUGGAAUUGAUGAAAGAAGAGAGGAUCGAGGUGAUCCUGAUGUCCGGGGAACGCAGCUGCCGUAUCAUAGCCGCAGACUUCAACAACCAGCACCCAGAAAGAACCACCGAUUUCACACCACUGUUGCAUCCCUCAAAGCCAAAUUCCGAGAAACUGGGACUCUGAACUUUAGUUCCUAUUCGGCUGAGUGUAGAGAAUCAGAACUCUUCAUCGAACUGCACAGCGAGUGGCGACCUUUGUGCUUUCACUCAUACAUUUACUUAGUACAUUUCUAAUAAUUUCAAUUUCUUUUAUCAACUGUACAUUAAAAUGAACCAUUAAUUAA